rnacentral:lncRNA from 9 species
UAAAAAGAUGAAUAAAUAAAUAAAUAAGCAGACAAAUAAAUAAACAAACAAAUAAACCAAUAAAUAAAAUAGUCAAAGUCAUGGGAUCAAAGAGCAGAGUAGUGGUUGCCAGGGGCUGUGGGAAGGGGGAAAUUGGGGAGUUAUUAGUCAUCGGCCAUAAGGUUCGGUCCAGCAAGAGGAGGAAGUUCUAGAGAGCAGCUGUAGCACCCCGUGCCUGCAGUCCACGGGACUGUGUGUACACGGAAACAUUCAUGAAGGGGUGGGUCUCGGGUUUGGUGUUCUUACCACCAUGAAAUUUAAGAGAAAGAGGUUGAGAGAGAGUGCUGUGUGCCUCCUGGCUCGGGGCUUGCUUCUCCCGAGGGCUUCCUCUCUAACUAGCAAAAGCCAGGAGCUUGGCCGAGAUCCCCCAGCCUCCACCUUCUACGAACCGCUUUAGGAAAGACAGAACGACAAGGACGACGGGAAAGCGAAUCUGCUUCUGUCAGGGAUGGGUCGUUUCUGCAGGACUGGAGCAAAGGACGGGGGUGUCGCAUGGGCUAUUGUAUCUGAGAAUCACAAACAGGCUUCAUGAUGUAAGCCUUCCUUGUGAGGUCUUGCCAUCAAGAAUAAACAUAUUAGGAGUUCCCUGGUAAUUCAGCAGGUUAAGGAUCUGGCAUUGUCACCGCUGUGGCCCAGGUUGCUGCUGUGCUGAGGGUUCAGUCCCCGGCCCAGGAACUUCCACAUAGGCAGGCCAAAAAAAUGGGGGGGGGGGAAGAAGCAUAUUAACACAUUUGUUCAAUAAAUACAUAUCAUGUGCCGUCUGCGCUCCAGGUUUCCUGCUGACUCUGUGGAUUUUCAGCCAAAUGACAGACGAUUUUGACUCUUCCGCCAUCCUCACAGAUUUUAACAGAAUAAAAUAAUGAGCAGAGUUGAUCUUAAUGUACAGAAGCAUUUAGUAUAUGAUACAGGAGCCUUUACCAAAAAAAAAAAAAAAAUGAGGUAGGAGCCAUUUUAUAGUAGGAAAAUGACUCGUAGUUUGUAACCAAAAAUUAGAGGGUUUUCAUUUGUUUUUGUUUUUUUUUUUUGACUUUUUAGGGCUGUAGACACAGGCAUAUGGAAGUUCCCAGG